GACGAACGCUGGCGGCGUGCUUAACACAUGCAAGUCGAACGGAAAGGCCCUGCUUUUGUGUGUUUCUCGUUUGGCGAACGCGUGAGUAUCACGUGUGUAACCUCCCCUUGUCUUUCUGAUAUCUUUUCGAAACUCGGGCUAUUACCCGAUAGGAUCUUCUGCUGCAUGGUGUUGGUUGGUAAGUUUCGGCGUUUGGGGAUGUUCUCGCUGGUUAUCCGCUUGUUGGUGGGGUAGUGGCUUACAAAGGCUUUGACGGGUAGCCGACCUGAGAGGGUGACCGGCCACAAUGGGACUGAGAGACGGCCCAGACUCCUACGGGAGGCAGCAGUGGGGAAUAUUGCACAAUGGGCGGAAGCCUGAUGCAGCAACGCCGCGUGCGGGAUGACGGCCUACGGGUUGUAAACAGCUUUCGACUGUGACGAAGAGUGAGUGACGGUAAUGGGUAAAGAAGCACCGGCUAACUACGUG
rnacentral:rRNA from 1 species